UGCUUGUUGGGGUUGUAGGACACUCUAUACGGAGUUACAAAGGACGACAUUAGACGAAUCAUCUGGAAAGAUGAAUCAAAGAAGGUAAUAAUCCUGUAGUCGAAAAUGUUGUCUCUCUUGAGUGGAUCCUGAGUACGACGGAGCACGUGAAAUUCCGUCGGAAUCUGGGAGGACCAUCUCCUAAGGCUAAAUACUCUCUAGUGACCGAUAGUGAACCAGUACCGUGAGGGAAAGGUGAAAAGCACCCCGGAAGGGGAGUGAAAUAGAACCUGAAACCGUGUGCUUACAAGUAGUCAGAGCCCGUUAAUGGGUGAUGGCGUGCCUUUUGUAGAAUGAACCGGCGAGUUACGAUUUGAUGCAAGGUUAAGCAGUAAAUGUGGAGCCGUAGCGAAAGCGAGUCUGAAUAGGGCGUUUAGUAUUUGGUCGUAGACCCGAAACCAGGUGAUCUACCCUUGGUCAGGUUGAAGUUCAGGUAACACUGAAUGGAGGACCGAACCGACUUACGUUGAAAAGUGAGCGGAUGAACUGAGGGUAGCGGAGAAAUUCCAAUCGAACCUGGAGAUAGCUGGUUCUCUCCGAAAUAGCUUUAGGGCUAGCCUCAAGUGAUGAUUAUUGGAGGUAGAGCACUGUUUGGACGAGGGGCCCCUCUCGGGUUACCGAAUUCAGACAAACUCCGAAUGCCAAUUAAUUUAACUUGGGAGUCAGAACAUGGGUGAUAAGGUCCGUGUUCGAAAGGGAAACAGCCCAGACCACCAGCUAAGGUCCCAAAAUAUAUGUUAAGUGGAAAAGGAUGUGGCGUUGCCCAGACAACUAGGAUGUUGGCUUAGAAGCAGCCAUCAUUUAAAGAGUGCGUAAUAGCUCACUAGUCGAGUGACACUGCGCCGAAAAUGUACCGGGGCUAAACAUAUUACCGAAGCUGUGGAUUGUCCUUUGGACAAUGGUAGGAGAGCGUUCUAAGGGCGUUGAAGCAUGAUCGUAAGGACAUGUGG
rnacentral:rRNA from 1 species